GACGGCCAGAUCAUGUUCAAACACCGGUUUUGGUCUGAUCACCGAAGUUAAGCAACGUCCAUUCUGGUCAGUAACAAGAUGGGUCACCACUUGGGAAUACCAGGUGCUGUGA